rnacentral:miRNA from 10 species
CCUAUUAGGUUGGUGCAAAAGUAAUUGCGGUUCUUGCCAUUGAAAGUGAUGGCAAGAACUGCAAUUGCUUUUCACAACCUAAUAGCUUUUC